UACGAAGGGGGCUAGCGUUGCUCGGAAUCACUGGGCGUAAAGGGUGCGUAGGCGGGUCUUAAGUCAGGGGUGAAAUCCUGGAGCUCAACUCCAGAACUGCCUUUGAUACUGAGGAUCUUGAGUUCGGGAGAGGUGAGUGGAACUGCGAGUGUAGAGGUGAAAUUCGUAGAUAUUCGCAAGAACACCAGUGGCGAAGGCGGCUCACUGGCCCGAUACUGACGCUGAGGCGCGAAAGCGUGGGGAGCAAAGCAGG
rnacentral:rRNA from 1 species